AUUGAACGCUGGCGGCAGGCCUAACACAUGCAAGUCGAGCGGAUGAAGGGAGCUUGCUCCUGGAUUCAGCGGCGGACGGGUGAGUAAUGCCUAGGAAUCUGCCUGGUAGUGGGGGAUAACGUCCGGAAACGGGCGCUAAUACCGCAUACGUCCUGAGGGAGAAAGUGGGGGAUCUUCGGACCUCACGCUAUCAGAUGAGCCUAGGUCGGAUUAGCUAGUUGGUGGGGUAAAGGCCUACCAAGGCGACGAUCCGUAACUGGUCUGAGAGGAUGAUCAGUCACACUGGAACUGAGACACGGUCCAGACUCCUACGGGAGGCAGCAGUGGGGAAUAUUGGACAAUGGGCGAAAGCCUGAUCCAGCCAUGCCGCGUGUGUGAAGAAGGUCUUCGGAUUGUAAAGCACUUUAAGUUGGGAGGUAGGGCAGUAAGUUAAUACCUUGCUGUUUUGACGGUACCAACAGAAUAAGCACCGGCUAACUUCGUG
rnacentral:rRNA from 1 species